GACAGAGGGUGCAAACGUUGCUCGGAAUUACUGGGCGUAAAGCGCGUGUAGGCGGCCCUGCAAGUCGGAUGUGAAAUCCCACGGCUCAACCGUGGAAGUGCAUUCGAAACUGCAGGGCUAGAGUCCUGGAGAGGAAGGUGGAAUGCUUGGUGUAGAGGUGAAAUUCGUAGAUAUCAAGCGGAACACCGGUGGCGAAGGCGGCCUUCUGGACAGUGACUGACGCUGAGACGCGAAAGCGUGGGGAGCGAACAGG
rnacentral:rRNA from 1 species